rnacentral:rRNA from 1 species
UACGUAGGGGGCAAGCGUUAUCCGGAAUUAUUGGGCGUAAAGCGCGCGCAGGUGGUUUCUUAAGUCUGAUGUGAAAGCCCACGGCUCAACCGUGGAGGGUCAUUGGAAACUGGGAGACUUGAGUGCAGAAGAGGAAAGUGGAAUUCCAUGUGUAGCGGUGAAAUGCGUAGAGAUAUGGAGGAACACCAGUGGCGAAGGCGACUGUCUGGUCUGUAACUGACACUGAGGCGCGAAAGCGUGGGGAGCAAACAGG